UUUCAUCAUGCCUUAGAAAUUUACGGUUCGGGUGCGCUGAUCAGUAUACUUAUUAGUACUCCGCGUUAAAUCGUAUAGCGGAGUACUUUUGUCCUGACGGACAUGAGAAAACAAACCGGUUUUGCAAGUUUGUUUGUGCAUGGCUAUUUAUAGAAAUAAAUAGCUUUCGAUUUCAGUUCUAGCGAAGGCGUCUACGUGGCAACAUCAAAUUCAAAUUCAUAAUGUUGUUGUAUACAAGAGUAUGUGUGUAUAUUUAUGCAUACGAUUAAUUUUUUUUUACGAAUAUGCUUGGAUAAAGGCCGUCAUUCCUAUAUUCUGAAGAAUGUACUAAGUGCAUGGCUACGGUUCACACAUUUUCUUCCUUGGUUGGGUGUUCCCACCUGAGAAAAGUAAUGGGAGUUGUUCGUGGGCGACUAGCAUUCUUUUGAUGAAGAUAAGGUUUAAUCUGUAGUAAAUCGAAAAAGAAAAACACUUUAUGGUAAUGAGAUUAAAUUUUGGAAAGUUAUUUUAAAGUUUGAACCAGGCAAAAUUUACUUAAAAAAUACUACAGAUUUUACCUGAGCAUACACUUAUGCACAGAAUACAAAUAUGUGCAUGAAUUAUACUUGUUAGUAUAUAUUAGAAGUUGUGUACCUGCUUUAUUAAAAGCAAGUUUGUAUUGAAUCUCUGUGAACAUGUUGCCACAAUAUAUGCGUCUCUCGCAAAUCGCACAACAUAGUUGUUAUGUUUGUUUGAUGCAAAGUUAGGACAACUAUGUAUUAGUCAACAGGUAAUUAUAUUGAAAAGUUUAUUCUGUUAUUGCUAUUUAAUAAACAUAUUGGUGCUAAAAUGUUUUAUGAAUUAUUUUUUGCCAAGUAUGGAUUUUUGAGCUUUUUUUAACAGACUAAAACCUCUCAUGUUCUGCACUGAUCGUUCUCAGACGGUUAGCUUAGUUUUAUUAUUUUUGCUUGUUUUUGUCGCUAUUCUAUACAGUGUAUUUUGUCUAGUAUAUUAUCUUGUGCCUUAUUGUUUGAUAAAUGGUUCCUUGACAUAAAUAAAGGACCGCAUGGUGUAAUAAGGACUCUCUCCUGGUGGUGCAGAUGAAGGUUCUCUUUGUGUAUAUUAUAUUCGAUGUAUGAGAUACAUCACAAUGCUUCCGUGUUGAGGGUUGCUACUAUGCAAUGACAGAACAUGAAAUUGGGGACCUACAACUUCUAUCAAUUGCGUCAGAUCGGCCAUUAACUUUUUUUUCGUUUAAAAUAAUGAAACAUAAGGUUUAAAAGCGUUCACUCAUGACGGACUUUAAGCUAAGAAAUCGUUCUCACGAGAAAAAGGUUAACAGUACACACAAUUCACAUAAGCAAAGAUGUAUUCGAACCAAUUAGGAAACGAGAAAGCCUGUAUAAUCAGAGUCACUUGCAUGCAACAUGCAAUAUUAUCUCACUUGACGAAGUACUCACAAACUCACAUGCACGGUUUAGAGAUGACUGCAUCCAGUCUCAAUUGCAUGACACAUAAUUUCAAUUAGAGCCCAAAUGGACAUAUUUAUGACAAGAUGAUGCUUUGAAUAACACAAACUGCAAUGAAGAACGUAAAUUAUAGUGAGAUGAAAUUUGGAGUUAUUAAUUUAUAUUUUGUUACGUGCUCAAUAGUGAUAUGUUUUAUAUAUACAUUGAGCAAGACUAGGUAGUUUGUGACGACUUUUCAAGAGAAAGUGCAGCUGCAGAACUAUGCACACUGUAUUUCUAAUUUGUAAGGUAUUUAGAGCAAUAAAUCCUGGUCAAAACAAAAUACUUCACUUAUCAUAUGUAUAUUUGCUUAGUAUGCUUUCUUAACUAUUUGGAUUUUUAUUCCUUUUCAGAAAUAAGAUGCUUGCAGCAUGUGAAAUAAGAAAGGUAAUGUCGCAAUUAAAAUUUCCAAGAUGAGUUUAUGUUCACUGACUUAUGGGAUUGACCUAAAGAUCCUUUCAUAUACGUGCUAACUCAUAUAAUUGUAAUCAUCAACUCUCUGUGACAUUGAUAGCGAAAUCAAUGGAAUAUUAUUGAAUUUAUGUUUAAAACUACAAUGUAGGCAUUAAGCAUUAUCCAGUUAUGGGUUUGGCAGCGUAUUAUAUACAUUACACAGGUUUUAUACAUUUGUCGAUCUCGUUUAAGAUGUAUCAACUUUUAAUACAUUUUCUUCUUGACUAGAUGUCACGGAUUUGGCUACAAAAAUAAGUUAAACAUAAUAUUAGACCUUUUUGUUAGAUAAUUAGAUUUUAGCCAUUCAUCUUGUAAACUGUUUGACCAUUUUAUCAAUAAAAAUGAUUCUGUUAUUUUCAUUGGAUAAUGGACUAUUACAUGUAUUUGCCAUCCAGGGUUAUUAUAUAUGAUCGGUUAAUAUUAACAGCUAUAAAGAUUUAAAUAUUUGCCAUUUUUUGGUAAAUACUUGAGUGUAUUUAUGCCUGAAACAUUAUCAUACCUUAGAACUUCGUUUAACUUUCGAGAGAAUAAAAAUUAACAGAGUGAAAACGAGGACACUUAUGUUUAAAAAAAUAAGCUGUUGAUUACAUGUGAUUUGGAUUUAAUAAAUACGAAAUAAUAACACUAACAAGAAACAGUCUUAUUUACAGGUAUCAAGGCACCCUCGAUAUAUUCUUAUUCGAUACAAUGUUAAAGCAGAAAGCAAUGAAAAUCAAUAUAAAAUGAAUUACCUGGAAUAUUGUUUUUGUAAACUCCAUUUUUCAUAAAAUUAUAUGUUCGAAUGCCUUUAUCUGCUCCAUGUUAUGUUUUCUAUGAAAUUCUUAUGGAAUCAGUUUCCAAUGUUUGAAUGAUUUUGUCAAAAUUGUAAGUCUUUGUGUGAGUUUUUUAUAUGGAUUUUAAUGAUACUUUGUUUACUUGUGUAUCAAUAUAAUUUCGCGUAACAAGCUCCCGUUUGACUGUGAAUCUCUAAACUGAUAGGUAUCAACCUCCUCCCGCCAAGUAACUGUCAUCAUCAAUUGGCAUGGUUGUAGGUUUAAACGUCCUCUUGACCGACCGACCAUCCGACCGAUCGAGUACAGUGGCCAUUAUGAAGAAACGUUCGAACAAAAUGUUCUUGACAAAAAUCCGAGUUGAUACAUUGGAAUUACUUGAUUCAGUUUUGAUUUAUAACUUCUGUCUAAAACUGUGCAACAUACAUGCAUUUCCAGACAUUUUACUCGUAAUGAAGAUUAAUAGCACAGACACUCUCAAUGGAAUUAUUUUGAAGGAAUCUUGAUAUAUUCUUUACUUCUGCUUCAAUUAAAGCCUUUCAUGCAACCGACAUUUCGAUUAAGUGCUCUUGUUGUAUUACACUUUGUAUUACGUUUUUGACCUGAUUAUGAAUUCUGCACAAAGCUCGAACUCACAAGGUUCCAAUUAAAACAUUACACAGAGUUGAACGUUUUGUUCCGCGGGGUUAAACAUUGAACUUUAAUUAACAUAAAGGCAAGGUUGUGUUGCAGUAACUUCUAAAUAUAGUAGAUAACAUGUAUUUACCUAUUACGAAUUCAUGGUUUUCAGUCAUUUUAUAAAUUAAGUUUUUUGUUUAACAUGCGUGUAUAAAACACAUACCGUAAGUUACUGGUAUUUUGGCCAUUUUCAAAAUUUCGCCAUAAAAUGAUACACUGAUAAUACCGGUAGAUUUUGCAUGAAGCGUGGGGGAUGAUAAGUAAAGUUUCAAACGAAGGGCUUAAUUAAAUUAUGCUAUGAUACAUUCGUUGUUCUUAAUGUAUUACUGCUGAUAGAAGCAGGCAGUGAAUUAUUGAAUAUUUUAUUAAUAUAACAAGUAACACGAGUAACAACAGCAUUUAUUUUGGUGAAAUAACAGUUUUCUAAUACUAGUAUACUCCUAACAUAUGGCUGAUCGUAGGAAGCAGUCAACUUAAUCUUCAAAUUUAGGAUGAGUUACACGUUCAGAAGAGACGUUAGAUAGUUUCUUUACAUGUGUCCAACAAAUAAACUUGCGAUUGCAUUUGAUACUAUGUUUAUCAUUUUCGAAUUUUCUUUACUAAUGAAUAUGCUAUGUUUGUAUCGUAGUGUAUACUCAAUUCCCUCAUCUAUGUUUAAUACAUUAUUCACUUAUUUGUGAUUUUAGUAAAGACAAUUGUCUUAUUAGUUUUUA